GAUUCCCGCGUCUUUUAGGCGGCUUCCAGUCUUUUCUCGCAGGGGAACCUGGCCUUUGGGUACUGGUGCGUUAGGACGCGGCGCACCACGGUAGGCAGUACCAUCGGCGGGCGAGCGCGGGCACAGGGGCAAACCCGUUGUUACGACUUCUUAAGUGAACCACUGUGAACCAUUGGACUACCAUUCGUAGAUUGGUACAGAAGCAAUUUAGAGUCUAAGAGCAGUAGUUUUUCGACCUUUCACUUAGAGGGUUCUAUUGUAGUACGAGCUGGAUUUGCACGGGAUAGUUUUUCGGGUACUUUUGAUCGUAUUUUGGCUAGUGAACGUACUGAACUGUAUAGGUACAGCUUGAUUCACAGCUGAUUCCGCGAAAUCUGACAAAAAUCAGCGAAGAAUUUCCGGAACAAUACUUAAAGAUUUCGCUAUUCAUCGCUGUUUGCACGAAGAGGAUCUUCAGCAAACAAACUACCGGUUUUCAUUGACUCAUUACCCACUCACUAACAAGGGGGAAAAAGAAUUCAUAGUUUACAGUACCAUAACAUAGUACCUAGUUGAUCCGCUUUGGCUGUUGGGAAAAAUUACGGGAAUCCACAGCAGCACAACGCGCCGCAUCACAACCCAAUCCAAACACACACAUUACUACGCAAGUUUGGUUGAUUUAAAAACGGUUCAAGAUGUUCGCCAUCAUGCAGAUUGAUAACGACGUCUCCAGGGAUCAGUUUAGGAGAAAGAUGAGGGCCAAGUGCGAGUUCGUGUGCAAGUACUGCCAGAGGAGGUUCACCAAGCCCUACAACCUCAUGAUCCACGAGAGGACGCACAAGAGUCCCGAACUCACGUUCAGUUGUGAGGUGUGCGGAAAGAGUUUCAAGCGGCAGGACAACCUCAAACAACAUAGAUGUAAUCAAUGUGUAUGGCGAUAAAAAGGGUGAUAGCCUUCUUGGAUACAGGGCUAUAUGGGGCUCUUCUAAAUUUAAAUGACUAUCCAUUAUCCAUGUUCCAGUCCGACGUUCAAUUGUUAUACCAGGUACUAAGAUUCACCUACAGCACUAUAACAAAUUUACUAUAAUAAAAUAUAAUUCAUACAACAGUAUUCUUGCCCUUAUACAGUGCAAUUCAAUUUUCAAAAAAAAAAUAAGUUCUUUUUUUGGUGAUUUCUAAUAAAAAAAACUACAUUUAUUUGAAUGUGGUAGACGAUGAUUCAGUGUAUUGACUUCCUUUUUUUUAAUAAUUUGGAGGCCAAAAAUACAAAAAAAAAGAAUUUGUUUUUUUUUUCAAUUUUUUUAAAGUUACAUUUUAAUUUAUUAUUGUCCUUACAUUAUAGCUCUUUUUGUAUAUAUUUUAUGUGUUCUAGUUAUUAAAUAAAUUAUAUUUAUAUGCCUUAAAAUAUGUAUACUAAAUUUCUAAAACGACUUCUUUUUGACUAGUCUAAAAAUUAGUUUUUUAUGUACCCUGGCCUUGAUAGAAUGAAAACGGUGCCAGAAACUUUAUGAAACGUUGUGUGCCCACUCAGGAGCAUUGGCGUAACUACAGGGGUGCCCGGGGGUGCCGGGCCUUCCCAUGUACUGCUGGGCACCCCCUAGAGAAAUCCUGAAUUAUCACUCUUGGCUGCGUAUUAAUUUUUAUUUGCUUGUGACGCAGUAAAAAUGACGUUUUCUAGUUUUGUUUAGUUAAUAUUAUUUUGUUGUGUUCAAAAAACGUGUUCAGAAAAUUUGUAGGUAUUCAAGUAAUUUACGGGAACACGGUUUAAUAACCAAGUCUAUGAAAUUUAUUGAUAGAGAAGUUCAUGUAAACGUUUUAUUCAGAAAAUAUGUUUUUUAAAAUGAUUUUUUAUUUUUAAAAAAACAAAAGCCCUAGCCCCCCCACUGGGCUCAACACCAGGCCCCCCCCCAGGCCCACCCCAGGAUAAAUUGAUAGUUACGCUAAUGCUCAGGAGUUUAUCUCACCUGAUAAUAUACAGAGUAUUCUUAUAAUUUAUUCUUUCACUGUGUUUCCAAUUAUUGAUUUUGUCAUUAUCAAAAAUAGUUUGAAAACAAAAAAUACAGGCAUAUUAGUUACUCUACACUUACUGUGGCGUAUUUUUUUAUCUAAUCACACCAUGCAUAUUAGUCUUUUAAUUUACUUAUAAUUUGUACAGGGUGUUCAAAAUACAUUCUCGUUUUCGUUCGAUCAUGCGCUAUAUAAACGUGAGUGUAAAAAAGUCCUGGUUUAGUUAGACUGUCAUAUAUUUUAUGACAUUAUGCAUCAUUUUCUUGCCCUUUACAUUUUAAUCAUAUACGCUUUUAUCUACAUUUACAGUAUGUAUACGGGGUGUCCCAGAAAUCCGGGCCUCAUGGGGUUCGAUUUUGCGACACCCUGUACACAAGAUGUAACAAAUGAAGUUGUAUUUUUAAUAUAUUUUUUUGUUUGUUACAUUUUGUUACGAAUUUAGUCAUAGAUACAGCAAUAUUUUGACAUUCUUCCUAGAGAAGUUUUGAAAAAAAACAUGUGUUAAAUCUCUCUCAAAAUAUUGAUUGAUAAAGACUAUUAGAGAAGCCAGUGUUUUAUAUCAUAAAAUUAGUUUGUGAUUUAGUUUAUAGUAUUAUAUUAUAUUUAAUUAUAGUUAUAUACGUGCAAUUCCUCUUUUUAUAUAUUUUUUUCGAUAAUUUUGUACAGAGUUGUUUAAAUAUUCUCUGAAGUUCGAAAUAUUUAUAUUAGCUUUGAUAUUAAUUGUAUUCUGUUUUUAUUUUAUUUAAUUAAUAAAAAUAACUGUGUAUUUUUUGUAGUUUGCAAAAAACUAUUCAGGUUAUUCUGUUAACCAUCAUUUCCUGUUAAUGGUGGCUGUUGUAUACUGUCAUUAGCAUUGCCUAUUUUUUUUGUUUUAAUAUUUUUUAUGUUUAUAAUGCCUACAAAUUUAAUAUGUGCCUUAAAAAUAAAACAUAUUAUCAGUGAAA